GAAUAUUGRUCAAUAGCCUAAACGGCUGAACCAGCAACUUGRAGGAAAUGUAUARCGAUAGCUAAUUGCGUCAAAAUAUUUUUGAUGCAAUAUUGACUUAGUCGAAUAAAAUUCUAGGUAGAAUUAUGAUAAUGACAUUGUCUGCCUAUGUGUCUUGACCAAAUUACGUGCCAGCAGUCGCGGUAAUACGUAGAAGACUAGUGUUAUUCAUCUUUAAUAGGUUUAAAGGGUACCUAGACGGUAAAUCAAGCCUUAAAAGGGGACUAAUUUACUAGAGUUACUUAUGAGGGGGCAUUAAAGUACUGCUGGUGUAGAGAUGAAAUUCUGUGAUACCUCUUUCGUAAAGAAAAGAAUGGCACAGGUAUAGGCGAAGGCAUCCCCUUAUGUGAUAACUGACGUUGAAGGACGAAGGCUUCGUGCAGCGAACAGGAUUAGAUACCCUAGUAGUCGAAGCAGAAAAUGAUGAAUGUCAUAGAUUAGGCAUUAUAGCUUAUUCUAUAAAUGAAAGUGUAAGCAUUCCACCUCAAGAGUAAUUUGGCAACAUUGGAACUGAAAUCAUUAGACCGUUUCUGAAACCAGUAGUGAAGUAUGUUGUUUAAUUUGAUGAUCCGCAAAAAACCUUACCACAACUUGAAUAUUUAUAUCUAUAUUUUAUCUAAACCUUUCUUAUGAAAGAAAUUAAUGGAGA
rnacentral:rRNA from 1 species